UCUGGACUCCUUUGAAGUGUGCGUGUGCAAAGGGGCAUUCUCUGUGAGAUAACGAAUCUAGGCGGAAGGUUUUGUUGAGGGAAGGCUAAAAGAAAGCUGUUGCUGGAGUUACAGCAUCAAAGCCUGAGCCCUGACAGCCAGUCCAUGGAAUGGUACUACUCACAUUUGGGGCGGGUCUAAAGACCAGCACAGUUGAUCCAGCCUAGGACUGUCUCACACACAUGUGUCUUCCAUGGUCCCAGGUCCUGUCAAGUUGACCGUCUCUGAGAUCUCCGUGACUUACAGAUGACCGCCCUCAGCUCUGCAGCUGAGACUGUUUGAGUGAAGAGGGACCAGAACCCAGAGCCGAGCGUGGCUGGCUGGGCUGCACAUCCAGAUGGCCUGUCUUAGUUAAGACUCUGAUGGAGUCUGCACUCCAUCUGCCUUUUGAAUUAAAUCGCAAGCUCCAGUCUCCCCAAUAGGGGAACAGCUUGUGUUGGCAAACCCUUCUGUGGACAACAAUGAUAAACACCGGAUUAAAAAGAAAACGGCCGUAGAAGACAUCGGAGGACACUGGGAGGCUAGGAGGGUGGUCCCAGAGAGGCCAUGAGCAAAGAGGACCCUGCCGGUCUAAGACACCUGCUCAUCCACCUUCCAUGAAUACCUAUGCUCGCCAACUGAUGGAUCCAAACCAUAAAGAUACACUCGAAGGACUCGAAUAAACCUGAGAAAGGACAAAGUAGAAAGGGGAGGCCUAGAUCCUGGGCUGACCCCUGAACUGUGUGCUU
rnacentral:lncRNA from 1 species